UGAGUGGUCAUGCGCAGUUCUACCUGUAGGUGGAGGCAAUUUGCAACGUAUUCUGAGGGGAGAAGCACAUGGAACGAUCAAUGCAGAGUUCAAUCACAUCACAAUCAGAAGCCUCAAUCAAGAAUUCUUCUCAGCGCUUUAUCAACUUGCAGCUUGAUUUUCGGAAAUUUGUGCAACAAAGAAAGUGGCAGUUGAAAAGAGAGUUUCUUGCGCAAAUUAAAUCUAUGCACCGUCAUCACUGCUAAGUGCACAGUUCUUCAUGGCCUUCCUCUUAUUCUUGGAGAAGAAACCUCUGAUUUUUUUAAACAGUGCUGACAGGACUGUGAUUGUGACACACCCUUCUUGGGGAUUCUGACCGUGAUAACAGAGGACAGCCAGGAUUCUUCCUCCACAAGAACUACAUUUGGAGUCUUCAUGCACAGCAUUAUUCUAGACUGAGCCAUUGUCAUGGAUGAACUUGAAAACCUUCCAGGUGCCAUGUGACUAAUUUUAGGGCUGAUAUGUGCCAAAUUUGGAGUUUUUCUUUCCCUUGGACACAAUUCUCUGAAACCAAAACUAUAUUCACUUAAAACCCUUCUGUUGAUGUAAGCAAAGGCUGUUUGAGAUCGUUAAAGGCUUAGUUCACCCAAAAAUGUAAAUUCUGUCAUCAGUUUUUCACUCUCAUGUUGUUUGACUUUGGUUCCCAUUCAGUCGGUCACGUUCGACGUACGUCGGACAGACCGACGAAUAGGAAUCUCGCUAGAGAGGCCAAUCUACUUCGAGUGUAACUACAACGAGCCAAUGCACAUUGGCAUGCAAUCAUAUGCAUCAGCUGCUCGCCUCGCAGCGCGGGUAUAUAACGAGCAGCAGGUGCGUUGCAUCUUCAGCUUUUCGCUUCGGAGCCGAACGGUGUUUGUUCCUGUUCUCUGCAAGCAAGUGUCUGCUAGAAGACGAGUCAAGCUUUUUGGUUGAACUUCUCUUUUUUUUCGAGUGCGGGCGAACAGCACAGCAGCGGGGUCAAAGUCCUCUCUUUAUUUUCUGUUUUUUGUUUCGUUUGCCAUUAUAGAGCAAAUAGCUGUUUUGACAGCGUCAGAAGGCUGUUCUCACGGCCGGUACGGUGCGCUUCGAGCGCUGAAAGCCGUUUUUACGGCUGGUAAGAGUGAGCGCCUUCAAAGAGAGAAAGAGCACACGACAGGCUGCACACAAUCCCUGUCUGUGUUGCGGCGGCCGUUCCCCUGCGUGCUUCAGCACUCUAAAAGAGUAAAGUCCCUAAAAGAGCUUACACAAAUAGAGCUUGCGUCUUUUUAAAGAUGACAUUCUAUUUGUGUGUUUCUGGAUGCGGUCGUUUCCUGUCCUCACUGACGGCCACGAUCACUGUUUCACAUGUCUGGGCGCGUGCUGAAACGAUGCUCGUGGGUGGUUCAUGUUUUCGUAUGAGAACAUGAUCACGUCGACACGCCGGUCGUGACUCUUCUUUCUCCGGGAAGCUUGAGUCCCCUCUGUUGUUGGCCAGCUGCCGCUUGUGUGUAAAAGCACAGCCGCGGGUCUGCCCGACACUCUGGGAGACCGCGGAGAUCAGCGAGAGCAAACCUCUCGCUCCUCUGCGUGUCGUGUGCCGUCGAGCUGUCUGGCUGCAGCGCGGGUUGUCACGGCAACCCAGCGCUCGCUCGGCGCUCUAGAUGCGCGGUCUCCUUGCCUAAUCUCCAUUGUAGCGCCCUCUCUGGUGCACCAGAAGAGGUCUACUUUGGUGAAAUGGCUUGGGUGUAUUGAGGUUGAGGGGUUCCUUCGGGGAACCAACCCCCUAGGGCCCCUCCCUCUAGCGCAUUACAUGCUGCGCAGCUUCUGGAUUGGAUUGCUGGUCCUUUUCAUAGGGGAACCUAGCAUUCCAUUUAGGGCUCCAGCUGAGGGUCAGAUGUCGAUUGCAGCAUCGGAGAGAGGGCUGUUAUGCUCUGGAAAUGAGGGUGACGCUGCCCACUGUAAUGGUGUGUGCUUAUGCUGACUCAGAUUCAGAGUUUACAGCCAUGCUUUCCCGGGUGUUCCGGAUGUGCAUGAAAAACUUGGCAGUAUGGAGCUAUAUUGGUGCCAUAAAUAUGGAAUGCCAAAAGUGCCAAAAUCUGCAUAAGUUUUUACUCUCUCACUACCCUUAUGGGUGGGGUGGCUGUUCACAGACCACACCCACCCUGCAUGUGAGGCCAAGGCACUCUUUAUGCAUGAGGGUAGUUCUGAGCCGGGGUUGAGCUGCGCUUGUUGACUAACCGUGAUCAAAGUCACGGCGCAGGCCUUCGGCCAGACGAUGUCCACCUCAGUGGUCCAGAAGCGCCCCCCUGGCUUACCUUGCUGAGGUGCAAGAGGUCGUCAAGCUAAACGCUUUCUCGACACUCCCAUCUCACAAGGUGGCCUUUUCGGUGACACUGUCGGGGACUGAGCCCAGCAGUUCUCCUCAGUUAGUGGCAGACCGGGGAGCCUCCCCCGACAAACCAUUGAGUUCCUCGUGGGCCCUCAGUCUGCUCAUCGCCAAGGGUGUCGUCCCCUGCAGAAUAAAAAAAAAAAACACUCCGGCCCAGUCUGCUCUACUGUGUCCGCUGCAGGAAGAUGACGCCUCCCGUCUCUGCUACUGUUUAAGUGGUUAGUGAAAAAUCACCCCUGAGACGGGUGACCCAGAGAUGGGUGGGGCUGCUCUCCCCCCCCCCCGGAGGAGGGCCGGGUGGUAAAUCCUGUUGGUUGGGUUUGUUUCUGUUCUCCCGCUGGUCCAACAGCCAGCGGUACCCAAAUUUUCAAAAAGAGAGCAGUUCCUCCAUCUCUGGGUCUGAAGAGGGCUUGGAGAGCAGUGGGAGGAGAAAAGCCUCACCACUCUCAUCCCCCUCUUCCUUCGCCAGAGGGCAGCAGCGUGCAGUCGAGAAGGCAGCAAAGCCUCUCCUGCGCCCCCUGCCCAACCGUGGAACCAGGUAGGUGUUGCACAGCACACUCUGACCCCGCUUCGGGCCGCCUCGCAGAGAGAGCCUCCCGAGCUGCGUCCCUGUGUUCCACCUCGCUGCCUCACUGCGGGUACGCCUGCGGUCCCUUUGAUCCCGCCUGUACGGUCUCUGUGAGCCUGGUUAGCGCUCCCCAGUCCGUCUCGCUGGCUCAUUCGGACCAUCGGGCUCGGCUAUGCGAUUCAGUUCGCCCGGCGUCCCCCCAAGUUCAGGGGUGUCCACCUCACUACAGUGAAGGCUGUCGAUGCCCGUGUCUUGCGUGCGGAGAUCACGGUCCUACUGGCGAAGGACGCGAUAGAGCCGGUCCCUCCAGCCGAUAUGAGGUCAGGGUUCUACAGUCCCUACUUCAUUGUACCCAAGAAAAGCGGUGGGUUACGACCGAUCCUGGAUCUGCGAGUUUUGAAUCGGAGCCUUCACAAGCUACCGUUCAAAAUGCUCACGCAGAAAUGCAUUUUCGAGUGCAUCCGUCCCCAGGAUUGGUUUGCAGCGAUCGACCUGAAGGACGCGUACUUUCAUGUUCGAUUCUUCCGCGACACAGGCCAUUCCUGCGUUUUUUGCGUUCGAAGGUCGAGCAUAUCAGUACAGAGUCUUACCCUUCGGGCUGGCCCUGUCUCCCCGCGUCUUCACGAAGGUCGUGGAGGGAUCCCUUGUUCCCAUGAGAGAACAGGGUGUUCGCAUCCUUAACUAUCUCGACGACUGGCUCAUUCUGGCACAGUCCCAGGAUCAGUGGUGCGAACACAGGGAUUUGGUGCUCAGACACCUCAGCCAGUUGGGUCUUCAGGUCAACUGGGAAAAGAGCAAACUCGCCCCGGUGCAGAGGAUCUCUUUUCUCGGUAUGGAGUUGGAUUCGGUCGAACAGAUAGCACGCCUCACAGAGGAAUGUGCUCAGUCGGUGUUGAACUGCCUGAAUACGUUUAACGGCAGGACAGCGGUUCCACUGAAAUUUUUUCAGAGGCUCCUUGGGCAUAUGGCAGCCGCAGCGGCAGUAACCCCGCUCGGUCUGCUUCAUAUGAGACCGCUUCAACACUGGCUCCACGGCCGGGUCCCGAGAUGGGCGUGGCAACGCGGCACGUUCCGGGUGGCAAUCACUCAGGAGUGCCGCCAAACCUUCAGCCCGUGGUCGGACCCCUUGUUUCUUCGGGCUGGAGUACCCCUAGAGCAGGUGUCCCGGCAUGCUAUGGUAUUCACAGAUGCCUCUGCCACAGGCUGGGGUGCCACGUACAACGGGCAUGCAGUGUCAGGGGUUGGACGGGCCCCCAUCUGCAUUGGCACAUCAACUGCCUCGAGUUGCUAGCGGUACGCCUUGCCCUGAGCCGCCUCAAAGGGCCGCUACGGGGCAAGCAUGUACUGGUCCGGACGGACAACACUGCGACCGUUGUGUACAUCUACCGUCAAGGUGGUCUACGCUCCCGUCGCAUGUCGCAACUCGCCCCCCAUCUCCUCCUCUGGAGUCAGAAGCAUCUGAGGUCGCUUCGUGCCAUUCAUAUUCCCGGUGUGCUCAACCGUGUGGCCGACGAGCUAUCACGAGCUGCGCGGCCAGGAGAGUGGCGACUCCACCCCCAGGUGGUCCAGCUGAUUUGGAGAGAGUUCGGAGAGGCUCAGGUAGACCUGUUUGCCUCACCAGAAACCUCCCAUUGCCGGUUGUUUUACUCCCUGUCCGGGGAACACUCGGAACAGACGCACUGGCGCUCAGCUGGCCCCGGGGCCUUCGCAAAUAUGCGUUUCCCCCAGUGAGCCUACUUGCACAGACCCUGUGCAAAGUCAGGGAGGACGAGGAGCAGGUUCUGCUAGUUGCGCCCUAUUGGCCCAACCGGACCUGGUUCCCAGAACUCUCACUCCUCGCGACAGCCCCUCCCUGGCCCAUUCCUCUGAGGAAGGACCUUCUUUCUCAGAGACGGGGCACUCUCUGGCACCCGCGUCCAGACCUCUGGAAACUCCAUGUCUGGUCCCUGGACGGGACGCGGAGGUUCUAGGUGACUUACCCCCCGAGGUACUUAACACCAUCGCUUCGGCACGUGCUCCGUCUACGAGACGGGCUUAUGCCUUGAAGUGGAACCUGUUCGUCGAGUGGUGUUCUUCUCGUCGAGAGGACCCCCGAAGAUGCUCGAUCGGUGUCGUGCUUUCCUUCUUGCAGCAGGGGUUGGAGCGUAGGCUGUCCCCCUCCACCCUCAAAGUUCAUACUGCUGCUAUCUCCGCAUAUCAUGACCACAUAGAUGGCAAAUCUGUUGGUCAGCACGACCUGGUCGUCAGGUUCCUUAGGGGGGCGAGGCGGUUAAAUCCUCCUCGUCCUCCCUCCAUACCCUCUUGGGACCUUGCUCUGGUGCUGAGAGCACUUCAGAUUGCUCCCUUUGAGCCCUUGCAAUCAGCAGACUUAAAGAUUCUGUCUAUGAAGACUUUGCUGCUGGUUGCAUUGGCCUCCAUCAAGAGGGUAGGGGACCUGCAGUCUUUUUCGGUCGACGAAUCGUGCCUGGAGUUCGGGCCGGGUGACGGCCAUGUGGUACUGAGACCCCGGCCUGGCUAUGUGCCCAAGGUUCCUACCACUCCCUUCAGGGACCAGGUAGUGAGCCUGCAAGCGCUGCCCUCGGAGGAGGCAGACCCAGCCCUGGCUUUGCUCUGUCCAGUUCGCGCUUUGCGACUGUACAUAGACAGAACUCAAAGCUUCAGGACCUCAGACCAGCUCUUUGUCUGUUACGGAGGCCAGCAGAAGGGAAAGGCUGUCUCCAAGCAGAGGAUGGCCCACUGGAUAGUGGAUGCCAUCGCCCUGGCUUACCAAGCUCAGGGCGUGCCCUGCCCGCUCAGGUUGCAUGCGCACUCCACGAGAGGCGUCGCAUCUUCCUGGGCGCUGGCUCGUGGCGCCUCGCUAACAGACAUCUGUAGAGCUGCGGGCUGGGCGACACCUAACACGUUCGCUAGAUUCUAUAGCCUUCGUGUCGAGCCGGUCUCCUCCCGUGUUCUCACCUCAGGUCAGAGGCACGGAGAGGCCCCGGCUUAGUGUCGGCUUGCUGCGCUUACAUGCGCUUUUUUCUCCAGAGAGUCCCUACAAGGCAGACCCUGUUGAGUCCUCCGAUCUCCCUUUCGGCAGCCGACGCGGCGGAACGUCUGGCGCUAGGCCUAUACUCCGUUGUAUCCUUGAGAACCGGGUUCAGGCUGGGUACCAUAUGUGUGACCCUACUGGGAUCCCAUAUGUCUAGUUCCACGGUUGCUCCUAAACGAAGCCCGUGUCUUUCCCUCUGGGAGAACCCACCUCUCAUCGAGUUGGAGUCACCCCAGUUCUUCCAUAUGUAGUACAGCCUACGGGUUAGUCCAUAUGUACUUCUCCACUUUACUCCUUCGGGAAGGAUGUGGCUUCCGCAGCGUUCCUUUCCCAGCGGAAGGGUACGCUUUCCCAGCGUUAUCCAAUAGUCUCACUGAAUGGGUUUUGGGGAACAGCAGUGAUCGACACUCUCUGUGUUAGCCCUGUCCCACCGUCCGUAGGCAAGGGGGUUCAGGUGGCUUACAACAGAGCGCUGGAAGAGGGCAGCCCCUGUGGCGCUUUGGUAGGGAUUCCUAUUCGUCGGUCUGUCCGACGUACGUCGAACGUGACCGACUGAAUGGGAACGUCUCGGUUACAAAGGUAACCCUCGUUCCCUGAAGGAGGGAACGGAGACGUACGUCCCGUCGCCACAGUCGCUGUACCCCGCUGAUGCUGCCGCCUAUCCGGUUCGGCUCCUCAGCGAAAAGCUGAAGAUGCAACGCACCUGCUGCUCGUUAUAUACCCGCGCUGCGAGGCGAGCAGCUGAUGCAUAUGAUUGCAUGCCAAUGUGCAUUGGCUCGUUGUAGUUACACUCGAAGUAGAUUGGCCUCUCUAGCGAGAUUCCUAUUCGUCGGUCUGUCCGACGUACGUCUCCGUUCCCUCCUUCAGGGAACGAGGGUUACCUUUGUAACCGAGACGUUAGUCUUUCAAACACAAAUUUAGAUAUUUGUAAAGAAAACAGGCUGGAAAAAACUUUUUGGAUCUUUUAAGUUUUGGUUACCUGGACUUUCAGUUGGAGGGACAGAAACCUCUCAGAUUUCAUUAAAAAUAUCUUCAUUUAUGUUUCAAAGUCUAACCAAAGUCUUAUGGGUUUGUGACGUCAUGAGGGUGAGUAAAUGAUGAGAGAAUUUCAUUUUUUGUGAACUAUCUCUUUAAUCUUGUGGUUGCACUAAAGUCAACACUCUUUUUAAUUAAAGUGUUAAAUUGUCACCUGCCAAAGUUUAAACUGUCAAAAUUAAGCUAACAUUGAUUUUUGUUUCAUGGUCAGCUAUUCAUUUUCUUGUCAAAAGACUGUUAGUAUUAUUGGUUUAUUCGUCAGUCAUGAUUUGUAAUCCAUAUUGUUACAUUAAUGAAAAAUGUUUAGAAUUUAGGGGUGCCAGAAUGGCAUUGUUUGGUACAUUGUAGUGUCUCAAGAAAAUUGAUGAGCAAUAAAUAAUGUUUUGUCUAAGA